GGAGAAGUCGCCUAGCUUGGUUUAUGGCGCACGACUGGAACUCGUGUAAGGUCUAACAGCCUUCGAGGGUUCGAAUCCCUCCUUCUCCG
rnacentral:tRNA from 1 species